GCCAUCAUAGCUCAGUGGCAGAGCACUGGUCUUGUAAACCAGGGUCGAGUUCGAUCCUCCUGGUGGCU
rnacentral:tRNA from 1 species